rnacentral:rRNA from 1 species
GACAGAGGGUGCAAACGUUGUUCGGAAUUCCUGGGCGUAAAGCGCGUGUAGGCGGUCGAACAAGUCGGGUGUGAAAACCCAGGGCUCAACCCUGGAAGUGGACUCGAAACUAGGCGACUAGAGUCUCGGAGAGGAAAGCGGAAUUCUGGGUGUAGAGGUGAAAUUCGUAGAUAUCCAGAGGAACACCGGUGGCGAAGGCGGCUUUCUGGACGAGUACUGACGCUGAGACGCGAAAGCGUGGGGAGCAAACAGG